AAUUUUAUAUGAGAGUUUGAUCCUGGCUCAGGAUGAACGCCGGCGGUGUGCCUAAUACAUGCAAGUUGUACGCACUGGCCCAACUGAUAGAUGAUGCUUGCAUCAGCUUGACGUUGGAUUCCCAGUGAGUGGCGGACGGGUGAGUAACACGUGGGUAACCUGCCCCGGAGCGGGGGAUAACAUUU
rnacentral:rRNA from 1 species